rnacentral:rRNA from 1 species
AUUGAACGCUGGCGGCAGGCCUAACACAUGCAAGUCGAACGAGUGGCGGACGGGUGAGUAAUGUCUGGGAAACUGCCUGAUGGAGGGGGAUAACUACUGGAAACGGUAGCUAAUACCGCAUACCAUCGGAUGUGCCCAGAUGGGAUUAGCUAGUAGGUGGGGUAAAGGCUCACCUAGGCGAAGAUCCCUAGCUGGUCUGAGAGGAUGACCAGACACCCUGGAACUGAGACACGGGCCAGACUCCUACGGGAGGCAGCAGUGGGGAAGAUUACACGAUGGGCGAAAGCCUGAUGCAGCCAUGCCGCGUGUAUGAAGAAGGCCUUCGGGUUGUAAAGUACUUUCGGCGGGGAGGCGUUACCCGCAGAGAAAGCACCGGCUAACUCCGUGCCAGCAGCCGCGGUAAUAC